rnacentral:lncRNA from 1 species
AUGUUGAGUCGAGUCAUGUUCGAAAUGGUGUGAGGCUGGGUGGGCCAAGUCAUAUUCAAAGUGGCAUAAGGUUGGUUGGGCCGAAUCACAAUCGAGGCUCGUUGGCGCUGUAUCUGUACACGUUAAGUGAAUUGGUUGCGUAUUUCUAACAGCUCGAGUUUUUAGGAUUAAUGAUUACCGCCAACGAUCCGACACACAGCUCAUACUAGUGCAAUUUCUGCCGUUCACAGUGCAAUGUAGUGUCAACCAGUGCAACAUAUCACUCCCCGACCAGUCAAUUUUCUUCCUUUCCACACGAUCGUCCCCUCUCCAGCAUCCUGUGCUACUUACCCUAUUUCUAAGCCCCUCAUCCUCCUCCAU